AGCGAACGUUAGCGGCGCGCCUAACACAUGCAAGUCGCACGAGAAACGGAGCAAUCCGCGGUACAGUGGCGCACGGGUGAGUAACACGUGGAUGACCUUCCCUGGAGUGGUGGAUAACCUGCCGAAAGGCGGGCUAAUACAGCAUGGGACCACGACGCUAUGGCGAUGUGGUGAAAGCGGGCCUCUAUAUAUAAGCUCGCGCUCCGGGACGGGUCCGCGUCCCANCAGCUAGUUGGUGAGGUAACGGCUCACCAAGGCAUCGACGGGUAGCUGGUCUGAGAGGAUGGCCAGCCACACUGGAACUGAGACACGGUCCAGACUCCUACGGGAGGCAGCAGUGGGGAAUCUUGCGCAAUGGGCGAAAGCCUGACGCAGCGACGCCGCGUGGGCGAAGAAGGCCU
rnacentral:rRNA from 1 species